GUGUUGGGAAGUGGGAAGAAUGGAUACAUAAUUUAUAUCUGUAAGCAACGAAAAUUAUUGCUGACGAAAAUCGAUUCUGAGCGAAGUUCAGUUAUGCAUGUUUUGAAACACUGUAAUUUUUCGUCAAAAAUUUAACUUUAAACGCGUAUAAAAACAAAUACUAUCUUCUACAUUACGCACAAUUUUCAUUUUUAAACUAUUAUGCGUGCAUAAACUUAACCUUACGUAAAUCUUUUAAAUAUUUCAUUUCGGCCAGUUAGUUUUAUCCAAAUAAAAACUAAAAAAUCUUCAGAAUGUUUUGACCAAGUCGAGAAAAGAAAUAUUGUGAAGAAUUCACAGGUCUACCAACUUAAGUUGUUAAAAAUAUUUUAACAAUUAUAUUUUAUGCCUAGAGUAUUGAAUGUUAAAUAUUAAUACCUCUUUAAGGUGUGUAUAAAUGUACAAAUAUUUUUUGAAUUUAAUUAUUGUAUGCCUUAAAUCUCGAGAAAAUGUUAAAAAGAGUAAUUGAAAUCUGAUCACAACUGAUAAAUAAAACAAAAUAUAACAUUUUGCUAUUAAAAUGUCCAUGACCAGAUUAUGUAAUUAUUGCAAAUUUCACAAUAGUUCUCCAGCAAUAAGCUUUUACAUUAUAAAAUGGAAAGAAUACCGUUACAAAACUAUCCCCAAACAAACUGAUUAUAAAAUCUUUGUCUAUGAUAAUAAAUUUUGUUAUGUGACUAUCAUAUUUAUGUAUUUCUGGCUCCUUUAGUUGUAUGAAUUUAUUAUGAAAUUAAAAUAAUUCAGUCAUUGUGUUGUAGUUGUGAAUAUUGUGAACUAAUAUCUGU